rnacentral:rRNA from 1 species
AAUCUUCCACAAUGGGCGAAAGCCUAAUGGAGCAACGCCGCGUGAGUGAAGAAGGUUUUCGGAUCGUAAAACUCUGUUGUAAGGGAAGAACAAGUACAGUAGUAACUGGCUGUACCUUGACGGUACCUUAUUAGAAAGCCACGGCUAACUACGUGCCAGCAGCCGCGGUAAUACGUAGGUGGCAAGCGUUGUCCGGUAUUAGUGGGGGUAAAGCGCGCGCAGGCGGUACUUUAAGUCUGAUGUGAAAGCCCACGGCUCAACCGGGGAGGGUCAUUGGAGACUGGGGGACUUGAGUGCAGAAGAGGAAAGUGGAAUUCCAAGUGUAGCGGUGAAAUGCGUUGAGAUUUGGAGGAACACCAGUGGCGAAGGCGACUUUCUGGUCUGUAACUGACGCUGAGGCGCGAAAGCGUGGGGAGCAAACA